rnacentral:lncRNA from 1 species
UUCUAAAGCUAGGCACGCCCAUGUGGGCAGACUGAAUUCAACCUUCUUUCCCAUGACCAACACUCUCCUGACCUCUAGGAAGCCACAAAAUCGUUGCAGAGAAGGAAAAGCCUUCUAUAUUGUUUCCCCCACCAAAAAAAAAAAAAAAAAAGAAGAAGAAGAAGAAGAAGAAAAGACAAAGCCUAAAGUUUUUAAAAUCCCGGUGCUUUCCGGGAAGCGUUCGGGAGAAAAGUGUGUGGCCGCACUAGUGGAGAUCCCCGCCGACAGGACCCGCCUCUCUCCCCAGGCCCGGCGGGGCCGACCCCGCUUCUCGCUCCCAGCAUACCGUGCGAUAGCGGCGGCGCGGCCAGCGGAGCCGGGAGGCGGGUUAGCAGUGGCCUUGUGAGCGUGAGGAGCUGCCGCCACCGCCUGCUCCUCGUCGUCCUCGUCCUCCGCGGCCCCGGCGACGUGGGCCGCGCACGGCCCUGGAAGAGACGUCGCCUCCCCUUCAUCCACCUCUCUCUCACCGCGCCGCUCCCGCCUCCUCGUCCUGUGCUGCGGGCUCAGGCGGAACCCGGAACGGUCGUCCUCUUCCCCCGCCCGCCGCCGCCUCCUCCUUCUCCUCCUUCUCGGCUUCCUCCUCAGCCCCGGGCCGGAGCGGGGUGUUGGCGGCGGCCGGUUCGGGCGGCGACUCGCGCUUCUCUGGGCGGCGGCGCUUGGCCAUGUCGUGUCGGGGAAGGUAAUGAGCCGCAGAGCCCCGGGGUCUCGGCUGAGCGGCGGCGGCGGCACCAACGGCACCAACUAUUCGCGGAGCUGGAAUGACUGGCAACCCAGAUUGACUUGAUGCACAACAUCACAAAGGCGAUUUUUGAGAACUGAUAGUGCAUCAGCCGACCCAGGUAAUUUAAAAUAUUCUUCAUCCAGAGAUAGAGGUGGUUCUUCCUCUUACGGACUGCAACCUUCAAAUUCAGCUGUGGUGUCUCGGCAAAGGCACGAUGAUACCAGAGUCCACGCUGACAUACAGAAUGACGAAAAGGAGAGAUCGAUGUCUUAUUGUGAUGAGUCUCGACUGUCAUAUCUUCUUCGGAGGAUCACCCGGGAAAACGACCGAGACCGAAGAUUGGCUACUGUAAAGCAGUUGAAAGAAUUUAUUCAGCAACCAGAAAAUAAGCUGGUACUAGUUAAACAAUUGGAUAUCUUGGCUGCUGUACAUGAUGUGCUUAAUGAAAGUAGCAAAUUGCUUCAGGAGUUGAGACAGGAGGGAGCUUGCUGUCUCGGCCUUCUUUGUGCUUCUCUGAGCUAUGAGGCUGAGAAGAUCUUCAAGUGGAUUUUUAGCAAAUUUAGCUCAUCUGCAAAAGAUGAAGUUAAACUCCUCUACUUAUGUGCCACCUACAAAGCACUAGAGACUGUAGGAGAAAAGAAAGCCUUUUCAUCUGUAAUGCAGCUUGUAAUGACCAGCCUGCAGUCAAUUCUUGAAAAUGUGGAUACACCAGAAUUGCUUUGCAAAUGUGUUAAGUGCAUUCUUUUGGUGGCUCGAUGUUACCCUCAUAUUUUCAGCACUAAUUUUAGGGUGAGUUCCUCAUUCCGCUGUUCAGAUCAUGGGGUGAGG